CUAAUAUUUUCUAAAGUUAGAAACACAGUUGUUCCCCUAAAAAAAUUAAACAAAAUAUCUUUCGGUUGUUUUUGUCGUCAAGAAAUUAAACCUAAAAAAGAUUGAAAAUCCCUUUGUAUAUCCGAUUCUUUUCUCCUCCCUCCUAUCAGAUCCUGACUAUGGCGGUGAAGAUGAUAUUCACUCGAUUAUUUUGUCGGCUUCUCAUCGUCACUGCUCAUGUGAUACAACUUCGGGUUUCUAUUGGGAAGCAUCAAGGUUAUUCGAAUUUUAUCUAUGGCGGCAUGGAUCAAAUUCACUAAUUCAAACUUUAAUCUUUCUCCCUUUACAUUGAGUUAUCGGACUUGACAAGCCAACAACAAAGGAUCUCGAAAGUCUCUAAGAUGGAAAGAAAUUAUAGUGAGAUUUAAUUAGUUUGAUUAUUAUUUUUAUCGUAAUUCAUUCAUAUAUAUAUGUUAUUCUUUAAUUUAAUGUGUAUUAUAUUUGUAUCUUAAUGUUCUCGCAAACCGGAAAUGCGUGAAUGUGGCUAUUACGUCAUGAAGUACAUGUAUCAAAUAGUUUUACUUGGAUUACAAAGUAUUAGUAAUGUGGAAGAGGUACGCAUA